rnacentral:rRNA from 1 species
UACGGAGGAUGCAAGCGUUAUCCGGAUUCAUUGGGUUUAAAGGGUGCGCAGGUGGGAAAUAAGUCAGUGGUGAAAUACUGCCGCUUAACGGUAGAAUUGCCAUUGAUACUGUUUUUCUUGAGUAUGGUUGAGGUAGGUGGAAUGUGUUGUGUAGCGGUGAAAUGCAUAGAUAUGACACAGAACGCCAAUUGCGAAGGCAGCUUACUAAGCCAUUACUGACGCUGAGGCACGAAAGCGUGGGGAUCAAACAGG